UACGAGGGGGGCAAGCGUUGUUCGGAAUUAUUGGGCGUAAAGGGUGCGUAGGCGGUCUGAUAAGUCAUCUGUGAAAUCUAUGGGCUCAACCCAUAGUCUGCAGGCGAAACUGUCGGGCUUGAGUAUGGGAGAGGUGAGUGGAAUUUCCGGUGUAGCGGUGAAAUGCGUAGAUAUCGGGAGGAACACCCGUGGCGAAAGCGGCGCACUGGACCACAACUGACGCUGAGGCGCGAAAGCUAGGGGAGCAAACAGG
rnacentral:rRNA from 1 species